AAGUGCAUCCAGCCUUCCCUUCCCCCACACGCCCCAAGAGAAUGGGAAGUUCAGCCAAGACUCGCAGCACCUGCCCGCGGCUCCAGGCCGGCUGCGCGGACCCAGAGGGAGGCUGCACUCACCUGGCACACCAAGCCUCCACGCACCUCCGGAGGGAGGCGGCACUUACAGUUGCAGAAACUUAUAAAAACAUCCCCCUGUUCUCCGUUGAGAGUUAAGGAUAGUUUUUGAGGCCAGAGAAAGAGAAAAGAAGGAGAGAUCACCAGAAAGAGAGGAAGAGAAGAAGUGGGAAGAAAAGGAGCUGCAGUCUACAAUGGAAGCCUCCAGGCUCCUUAGCCUCACCUUAUAAAGCCACAUCACUGCAGAGAUAGGAAAGAUCGUGCCCUUUCCCAGGGAGUUUCUACCGCCAGGGAGGCACACACUGACUCGGGAGAACGAGGGAUGCUUAGCUGCUGAAAACCAUCCAUCCCCGUAUAGAAGGCUUUCUGCACAAUGUAAUUUGGGUUCCGAUUAAUCUAAGACCCUGGGAGAAAAGACUGCCUCCAGGGAAUCAUGUCCGAUUAGGGACAAAGGAGGGCACAAGCCCAAUUCAGUCACACGUGAGAGCGCGGGGCAGGGGUUGGGGGGUGGUGGGGUGGUGGUGAAGAGCCAGCAGGGAAGGUGGAGGAUGAGUCUGCAUACCAGACUAUGGUCACUGCAGAGCUGCUUCCAGACCACCUGACUUCAGGCCCAAGAACAGGUGGUGGUUUUAAAACACACUGUUAUUUAUUUUGGCCGUAUAAGUUGAGAACACCUUAAAGAAAACAAUUAAUAAUUUAAUUGAAAAAGUGACUAUGAAUAAGACAUGAAGAUGAUGUAUGCUAGCAGGACCGCAAGCAACGUGGCCCACAACGCACAGAUGCCUCUGGCAAUCUCUUCAGGAAAACGAAGAUUCCUUACCUAGGAUAGGGGACAACCUCGUAAUCUGAUGACAUCAUGAUCCUGGUAGGCCCACAGACAAAUACCUCCAAUAAAAUAAAAGCGAGAAAGCCCAAAGAACAAGCUAUUAAAGUAACCUGGGAGGAUGCAACAGUGCCUGGGCAGAAGGCCCGGAGGGGAUUUGCCCUAAUACUGCCACUGUCCCAAGAAGCAGACCCUGAGACCUGCCUCCUGCACUUCAGAGGCCUGACAAGUAGAACUGAGAGUGACCCUGAGUUCCUUUUCUUUAUCUGGCACCGGCUACACACAAGAUGAGGCCUAGUCAAGCCUGCCUUUGUUCUAGGCAAAAAUUUAACAGGUAAUCCACAGGCCAGUGAUCUAUGGCCUCUGUACAUUAUGGAAAUGAGGGACUACACACAAGCUGGGUGUCACCUCUACUAAAACUCAUUUUCCUUAUUCAUAAAAACAAUACCUCUUCGGAGGGAACUGGCAACUUCUGCACUUACAUACGAAAUCGGGAGUUUCUCUGAAAUACUCCUUGCAAAUUCUAUCCUCCAGCUCUGGAAGCCCCGGCUCUUCGAAGGGCAGCUGCCUGAUGUUAAACCCACGGCCUACCCAGCAGUGACAGCCUGACAUUCUCAUCGCUCCAUCCUGAACACUGCUGACAAAUAAACCCACUCUCAGAAAAGGCAAUUCUUCCCUCGCAGUUCUCCAUACCCAGUCUCGUCUCAUCUGGAAAGCGUAAUUGGCAACAGCCGAAAGGAUAAAUAUUUAAAAAUAAAUCAGGGAGCGCUAACCCCUUCCCUACUCCUCCCCUUACUCACUCUCCAAGCCAGAGGCCUGCCCCCUAACACUGAGCUGGCUGGUAAAUUACAAUGAUUCUACCGAG
ensembl:lncRNA